AAAUUUUCACAGAUGAUGUAUUUCUGUUGCCGCUAUAACAACAAAUACUAAAACAGAAUAAAAUAAAGAUUUAAGUGGGGCUCCCAUACUGUUGUAAACGUGAUUUUUGAUAGAAGUUAAGCAACGUCGGGCUCGGGCGGGGUCAGUACUUGGAUGGGUGACCGUUUUUAUAGAUAAUGGUACGGAACCCUUCGUGUGCGAGUCCGACUCGCACUUGGCCGGUUUUUAUUUAGAACGAAGUUGAUUUAUAAGGUUUACUUGAUCCUUGUGGGAAGCAAAUGAAGCUUUAUUUGUAAGUAUGUAUGUAAAAUAAAAUAAUAUUAAUAAUCUAUCAACCGCAUCUAGAUCGAUAGUGCUCGUCAAGGAAAAUCUAUUGAGCCCAAACACGAUGGAGUUAUGAUGAGUAGAUUAGGAUAGAUUAGGAUUUCUGGUGACCAACUCCUGACUCCAUCAUGAGAACCUGGACUUCAUCUAGAUCAA